rnacentral:rRNA from 1 species
AGUGAACGCUGGCGGCGUGCUUAACACAUGCAAGUCGAACGAGAACGGGCUAUAGCUUGCCAUAAUUGUCAGCUAAGUGGCGCACGGGUGAGUAAUGUAUAGGUAAUAUGCCUCUUACUAAGGGAUAACAAAUGGAAACGUUUGCUAAUACCUUAUACUCCUUAUUAACAGAAGUUAAUAAGGGAAAGAUUUAUUGGUAAGAGAUUAGCCUGUAUUGUAUCAGUUAGUUGGUGGGGUAAUGGCUUACCAAGACUAUGACACAUAACUGGUUUGAGAGGAUGAUCAGUCUCACUGGAACUGAGACACGGUCCAGACUCCUACGGGAGGCAGCAGUGGGGAAUAUUGCACAAUGGACGAAAGUCUGAUGCAGCAACGCCGCGUGGAGGAUGACACAUUUCGGUGCGUAAACUCCUUUUAUAUGAGAAGAUAAUGACGGUAUUAUAUGAAUAAGCACCGGCUAACUCCGUGCCAGCAGCCGCGGUAA